rnacentral:rRNA from 1 species
AAGAGNCUCCUAUCGACAAGUGGGUUUACGACCUCGAUGUUGGAUCAGGGUAUCCCAGUGGUGCAGCCGCUACUAACGNGUUCGUUUGUUCAACGAUUAAAACCCUACGUGAUCUGAGUUCNAGACCGGAGUAAUCCAGGUCAGUUUCUAUCUAUANAAGGGNCUUUUUCUAGUACGAAAGGACCGAAAAAGCAUGGCCAAUGANCUAAUUAAGCCAUNAUAAAUANNACUUGUGACACCAACUCAACUGUUUAUUAACCUCAAACUNNUUACUCAAGAAAAGAGUAGUUAACGUAGCAAAAUACGGCAUUGCAA